rnacentral:snoRNA from 1 species
AUAAUUUAUUGAUGUAUGUUAACUCCUAGCGGGCAAGAUUUUUUCAAAAUAAAAAUGAAAAACAUCAUAAUCAGUCUAGGUGAAAAAAAUUUAAAAAAAAAAAAAAAAAACUCCUAGCGGGCAAGAUUUUUUCAAAA